rnacentral:lncRNA from 1 species
UAAGUGCAUGGGCUCUGAAUUCAGAGUCUCAUGACAGAAGAAUCCCCACAGCUUAGCCUUUAAAUUGAUGAGAUAUGCUCUGUAUCCUGCAAUGCAGUCAACCUGUCGUGGUAGAGCAAGCUGGGCUGGUGACACAAAUGGCAAACAAGGAUCCCUGGGCUGGAACCUUCUGACAUACCUGACAGCACCACCUGGAAAAUGGGUGAUGAGUUUCAGAGAGACGAUCAGGGGGUGAGGAAUGAGAAGACUCUCCACCUGCAUUGUUGUUGACCAUGUCCAAGGGAGAGCUAGUCAGCGUCAUUUGCUUUCCUUUGGCUUCUUUCAAGAUUUCAUCAUUGCUCUUUCCUUGGAAUUUUGGCCCUGCCACUGUCACCAGAUGCCAGGUGUGUGCUGAAGAUAAAAGGACCUGCUUUCCACUCCAGCUUUCUCCCUGUUCUCUGUAUUCUGCUCUGUUCUGUGUGUGCCCUUCUCCCUCUCUGCCUCCUCUCUCUGCCUUCAUGUCUCUCUCUGCUCCCUGUCUGUCUGUCUGCCUGUCUACAUGUCCACUUGUCUGCUCUAUCCCUUCCCCAGAUCCUAAUUCCCUUCCACAAUAAACCUUGGAACCAUU